rnacentral:lncRNA from 1 species
AGUAAAAAGGUCCUUGCUAGUUGCUCGUAGCCGCACAGAAUGUCUGACCUCUACGGAUAGUCCAUUCGAAGCCCCGAUCUGAUCAGCCUCCUUGAGAGUGCUAGAUCGCACGAAGACCAUCUUGCUGGCUACUCUGGAUCCUUCCUUUAGUUCUCUUGAAUCCUUUCAGAGGUUAAAGAAGGAUGUCAAUGGAGGCAUAAGAGAUGUUGU